GACAGAGGGGGCAAGCGUUGCUCGGAAUCACUGGGCGUAAAGGGCGCGUAGGCGGGAUGGCAAGUCGGUCGUGAAAUCUCUCGGCUCAACCGAGAAACGUCGGCCGAUACUGCCGUUCUUGAGGGAUGCAGAGGAGACUGGAAUUCCCGGAUGUAGCGGUGAAAUGUGUAGAGAGUGGGAGGAACGACCGGUGGCGAAGGCGGGUCUACUGGGCAUUCCUGACGCUGAGGCGGCGAAAGCGUGGGGAGCAAACGGG
rnacentral:rRNA from 1 species